CCAGGUUCUUCUGUCCAAGUACCUGAUGAGGUCCGUGUGACUCAAAAAAAAGCUCACCCUGCAAACAAAGCUGUAAUGUCAGUAGGGACAACCCAUUUAUCAAGUGUUGCGGUCAUUUCACAGAGCAACAGUGACAGUGGCACGUGCUCUCAUUGGUCCACUGAGUCCAGUACACCAACCGUUCCAGAAGAAAUAGAUGCUUCAAAUAAAGCUACAAAGCCAGAAGCAAGGGCCAAUGCCUCAAGUAUUGAUGUUUCACAAAGCAGCAGUGAGAGUGCAU